CGGGUGAGUAAUGUCUGGGAAACUGCCUGAUGGAGGGGGAUAACUACUGGAAGCGGUAGCUAAUACCGCAUAACGUCGCAAGACCAAAGAGGGGGACCUUCGGGCCUCUUGCCAUCGGAUGUGCCCAGAUGGGAUUAGCUAGUAGGUGGGGUAAAGGCUCACCUAGGCGACGAUCCCUAGCUGGUCUGAGAGGAUGACCAGCCACACUGGAACUGAGACACGGUCCAG
rnacentral:rRNA from 1 species